UAAGGAAUAUUGGUCAAUGGAGGAAACUCUGAACCAGCUAUCCCGCGUGAAGGAUGAAGGGGCUCUGCCUUGUAAACUUCUUUUGUCUGGGGCGAAAAAGCUCGAUUUAUCGAGAACUGACGGUACCAGAAGAAUAAGCACCGGCUAACUCCGUGCCAGCAGCCGCGGUAAUACGGAGGGUGCAAGCGUUAUCCGGAAUCACUGGGUUUAAAGGGUGCGUAGGCGGCUUAGUAAGUCAGUGGUGAAAGGCUGUGGCUUAACCAUGGAAUUGCCAUUGAUACUGCUGAGCUUGAAUAAGGUUGAGGUUGGCGGAAUGUGACAUGUAGCGGUGAAAUGCUUAGAUAUGUCAUGGAACACCGAUUGCGAAGGCAGCUGACUGGACCUGCAUUGACGCUGAGGCACGAAAGCGUGGGGAGCGAACAGG
rnacentral:rRNA from 1 species